rnacentral:rRNA from 1 species
UACGGAGGGUGCAAGCGUUAUCCGGAUUCACUGGGUUUAAAGGGUGCGUAGGUGGGUCUGUAAGUCAGUGGUGAAAUCUCCGGGCUUAACCUGGAAACUGCCAUUGAUACUAUAGCUCUUGAAUUUUCUGGAGGUAAGCGGAAUAUGUCAUGUAGCGGUGAAAUGCUUAGAUAUGACAUAGAACACCAAUUGCGAAGGCAGCUUGCUACAGGAACAUUGACACUGAGGCACGAAAGCGUGGGGAUCAAACAGG